rnacentral:sRNA from 1 species
UUCGGCGGCGCGGCACCCCCUAACGGGGGCGCCGCAGCCCUGCCUCUCCGGAGGUUCGGGGCGCCCGCCGGAGGUACGAAACUCUGUAUUAUAGUGGCAUCUCUGAGUAUAAAGCAAAUAAGUUAAAACUUUCAACAACGGAUCUCUUGGCUCUGGCAUCGAUGAAGAACGCAGCGAAAUGCGAUAAGUAAUGUGAAUUGCAGAAUUCAGUGAAUCAUCGAAUCUUUGAACGCACAUUGCGCCCGGUAGUACUCUACCGGGCAUGCCUGUUCGAGCGUCAUUUCAACCCUCAAGCCCUGCUUGGUGUUGGGGCCCUACGGCUGCCGUAGGCCCUGAAAGGAAGUGGCGGGCUCGCUACAACUCCGAGCGUAGUAAUUCAUUAUCUCGCUAGGGAGGUUGCGGCGUGCUCCUGCCGUUAAAGACCCCGGCGAGUGAAGCGGCAACAGCUCAAAUUUGAAAUCUGGCUUCGGCCCGAGUUGUAAUUUGUAGAGGAUGCUUUUGGUGAGGUGCCUUCUGAGUUCCCUGGAACGGGACGCCAGAGAGGGUGAGAGCCCCGUAUAGUCGGCCACCGAUCCUCUGUAAAGCUCCUUCGACGAGUCGAGUAGUUUGGGAAUGCUGCUCAAAAUGGGAGGUAUAUCUCUUCUAAAGCUAAAUAUAGGCCAGAGACCGAUAGCGCACAAGUAGAGUGAUCGAAAGAUGAAAAGCACUUUGAAAAGAGGGUUAAAUAGCACGUGAAAUUGUUGAAAGGGAAGCGCUUGUGACCAGACUUGUGCCGGGCUGAUCAUCCAGUGUUCUCACUGGUGCACUCGACCCGGCUCAGGCCAGCGUCGGUUUUCGCGGGGGGAUAAAAGCUUCGGGAACGUGGCACCUUCGGGUGUGUUAUAGCCCGUUGCUUAAUACCUCCGUGGGGACCGAGGUUCGCGCUCUGCAAGGACGCUGGCAUAAUGGUCAUCAGCGACCCGUCUUGAAACACGGACCAAGGAGUCGAGGUUUUGCGCGAGUGUUUGGGUGUAAAACCCGCACGCGUAAUGAAAGUGAACGUAGGUGAGAGCUUCGGCGCAUCAUCGACCGAUCCUGAUGUAUUCGGAUGGAUUUGAGUAAGAGCGUA